GCUGAUAUGGCCGAGUCGUUAAGGCGAGUGAUUUGAACUCGUGUUCAAAUAUCACUUGGGCAUUGCCCGCGUAGGUUCAAAUCCUGCUGUCAGCG